AAUGAACGCUGGCGGCGUGCCUAAUACAUGCAAGUCGAGCGAACGGACGGGAACCUUUCUUCCCUGAUGUUAGCGGCGGACGGGUGAGUAACACAUGUAUGACCUACCUAUAAGACUGGGAUGACAUCGGGAAACCAUAGCUUAGACCGGAUAAUUUUUUGAACCGCGUUGGUCACGAGUUAGAUUCGCUCUUUGUGCCACUUAUAGAUUGAUACGGCCUGCAUUAGCUAGUGGGUAAGGUAACGGCUUACCAAGGCAACGAGGCAUACCCGACCCAAAAGGGUGAUCGGCCAGCCUGGAAGUGAGACACGGCCCAGACUCCUACGGGAGGCAGCAGUAGGGAAUCUUACGCAAUGGGCGAGAGCCUGACGGAGCAACGCCGCGGGAGUGAUGAAGGUGUUCGGAUCGUUAAACUCUGUUAGCAGGGAGGAAGAAAUGUGUAUUUAACCGUGCAGAUCUUGACGGUACCGAAUGAGAAAGCCCCGGCUAACUCCGUG
rnacentral:rRNA from 1 species